rnacentral:tRNA from 1 species
ACGGGCAUAGUUCAAUGGUAGAAUAGCGGUCUCCAAAACCGUUGAUCAGGGUUCGAAUCCUUGUGCCCGUGCCA